UACGUAGGGUGCAAGCGUUGUCCGGAAUUAUUGGGCGUAAAGAGCUCGUAGGCGGUCUGUCGCGUCUGCUGUGAAAAUCCAGGGCUCAACCCUGGACCUGCAGUGGGUACGGGCAGACUAGAGUGCGGUAGGGGAGAUCGGAAUUCCUGGUGUAGCGGUGAAAUGCGCAGAUAUCAGGAGGAACACCGGUGGCGAAGGCGGAUCUCUGGGCCGUAACUGACGCUGAGGAGCGAAAGCAUGAGGAGCGAACAGG
rnacentral:rRNA from 1 species